GAUGAACGCUGGCGGCGUGCCUAAUACAUGCAAGUCGAGCGAACAGACGAGGAGCUUGCUCCUCUGACGUUAGCGGCGGGCGGGUGAGUAACACGUGGAUAACCUACCUAUAAGACUGGGAUAACUUCGGGAAACCGGAGCUAAUACCGGAUAACAUGUUGAACCGCAUGGUUCAACAGUGAAAGACGGUCUUGCCGUCACUUAUAGAUGGAUCCGCGCCGCAUUAGCUAGUUGGUAAGGUAACGGCUUACCAAGGCAACGAUGCGUAGCCGACCUGAGAGGGUGAUCGGCCACACUGGAACUGAGACACGGUCCAGACUCCUACGGGAGGCAGCAGUAGGGAAUCUUCCGCAAAGGGCGAAAGCCUGACGGAGCAACGCCGCGUGAGUGAAGAAGGUCUUCGGAUCGUAAAACUCUGUUAUUAGGGAAGAACAAAUGUGUAAGUAACUAUGCACGUCUUGACGGUACCUAAUCAGAAAGCCACGGCUAACUACGUG
rnacentral:rRNA from 1 species